GCCUGGAUGUGGUGGCGCAUGCCUGUGAUCCCAGAGGCUCUGGAGGCUGAGGCAGGAGGAUCACAAGUUCAAAGCCAGCCUCAGCAAUGUUGAGGGCUAAGCAACUCAGUGAGACCCUGUUUCUA
rnacentral:sRNA from 1 species